GAUGAACGCUGGCGGCGUGCCUAAUACAUGCAAGUCGAGCGAACGGACGAGAAGCUUGCUUCUCUGAUGUUAGCGGCGGACGGGUGAGUAACACGUGGAUAACCUACCUAUAAGACUGGGAUAACUUCGGGAAACCGUAGCUAAUACCGGAUAAUAUUUUUAACCGCAUGGUUCAAAAGUGAAAGACGUUCUUGCUGUCACUUAUAGAUGGAUCCGCGCUGCAUUAGCUAGUUGGUAAGGUAACGGCUUACCAAGGCAACGAUGCAUAGCCGACCUGAGAGGGUGAUCGACAAGAAUGGAACUGAGACACGGUACAGACUCAUACGGGAGGAAGAAGUAGGGAAGCUUACGCAAUGGGCGAAAGCGUGAAGGAGGAACGCCGCGUGAGUGAUGAAGGGCUUCGGAUCGUAAAACUCUGUUAUUAGGGAAGAACAUAUGUGUAAGGAACAGUGCAAAUCUUGACGGUACCUAAUCAGGAAGCCACGGCUAACUACGUG
rnacentral:rRNA from 1 species